UACGUAGGGUCCGAGCGUUGUCCGGAAUUAUUGGGCGUAAAGAGCGCGCAGGCGGCUUGGCAAGUCGGGUGUGAAAUCCCGGGGCUCAACCCCGUGACUGCAUUCGAUACUGUCAGGCUAGAGGUAGGUAGGGGAGAUCGGAAUUCCUGGUGUAGCGGUGAAAUGCGCAGAUAUCAGGAGGAACACCGGUGGCGAAGGCGGAUCUCUGGGCCUUACCUGACGCUCAGGCGCGAAAGCUAGGGGAGCGAACAGG
rnacentral:rRNA from 1 species